GUUUUAAUAGUUUAAUUAAAAAACAUCGGUCUUGUAAACCGAAAUUAAGCAGCCCAUUUUUUUAAAACU
rnacentral:tRNA from 1 species